UCCAUCCAUCCAUCCAUCCAUCCAUUUUCUUAGUCCAUAGCAGGGCAACGCAGAGACAGACUGGACAAACAACCAUGCACUCACACUCUCACACCUAGGGAAAAUUUAUACAGACCAAUCAACCUAGAAGUCAUGUCACUGUGGGAGGAAGCCAGUACCCGGAGAGAACCCACCAUGUACUGGGAGAACAUGCAAACUCCAUGCAGA